rnacentral:rRNA from 1 species
UACGAAGGGGGCUAGCGUUGCUCGGAAUGACUGGGCGUAAAGGGCGCGUAGGCGGAUGGCAUAGUCAGAUGUGAAAUUCCCGGGCUUAACCUGGGGGCUGCAUUUGAUACGUGUUGUCUUGAGUUCGGAAGAGGGUCGUGGAAUUCCCAGUGUAGAGGUGAAAUUCGUAGAUAUUCGGAGGAACACCAGUGGCGAAGGCGGCUCACUGGUCCAUUACUGACGCUGAGGAGCGAAAGCGUGGGGAGCGAACAGG